AGCGGAGUAGCAGCAGUUUGGUAGCUCGCUUGGCUCAUAACCAAGAGGUCAAGGGUUCAAAUCCCUUCUCCGCAACCA
rnacentral:tRNA from 1 species